UUGAUUUUUCAUUCGUUUUUAACGAUUGUUCAGACUCAAUUAGAAAUACAAGUUUUCAUUUGCUACCCGUGGGAUUACAGCCAGCAGUCCUGGUCAAGGAAGCCAGCCUGCCGCGGAAGCGAAAGGUCUUUUUCUGGUUCACAGAGGGUUUGCACUCUGGUUGGUUUCCCAAACCUGAGCUUUUUUUUUGGUAAUGAUCCUUCCGCAGGUUCACCUACGGAAA
rnacentral:misc_RNA from 1 species